GGUUCCAAGGCCAUAUUGAUAUUCAUCAUCUCCCUCUGCCACUGCCUAGAUGUCCUUCACUCAUGGCCAGACUGCAGCUGAUGGAGGUUGUUUGCCUGAAGCCAUCAUUCCUGAGGAGUCUGAACCCCUAUUUUUCCUUUCCUUAUCAUGUCUUUACCAUAUACUGUACUUGACUGUUACCAUUAGAUGUGUAAGCACUGAGGAGCAUCUACUAGGUUAAGCUACAAAUUGCUGUCACCUACAGGGCAGAAGAGGUUCAGUGUAACCGCCUUGCCACUGAAAUGGUUGGCUCUUCUUUUUGAGGAAUUGUAACAUAGGGUACCGAGAGCUGGAUUCUGCUGAUGACAAGUUAGGCAACUUAGUAGCAGCAGUGGCUCUUGUCAUUAAUUAGCUGACAAAACGUUAGGCAAGUUAUUUAAUUUCUCUGGACCUCAGUUUUCACAUCUGAAAAACAUGGGCUGAUAGUAUCUGCCUCAUAGGUUUAUUGUAAAGGUUAAAUAAGCUAAUAUAUGUAAAUCACUUAGAAUAGUGCUUGACAAAUACUAGAUAAGUAUUAACUGUUACUGUUAUUAAUUCUUUAGUUUGAAGAGAGUGUGGUUGAGAGCUUUUUUCUUGAACUAGGGAGCGCAUAUAACAUCCAGACUUUUUGGAUAAUUAAAAGAAUCCAAGCUAGGAAAGACUAAACCAAAGUGACUUGAUAGAGCUGUUUAGAAUUGAGGGACCCCUAGGUAAACUAUGCCCAUGAGCUUACGAAGUCAGCUUCUGUAAUCUUCUCUGUAUAUCCGUAGGUGCCUCUCUGUAUAGAUUUGGUAUUUAAGUAUUAUCAGCUACUUUUACACUCAAGUUUCUGCCCCCAAAUCUGUAAAUGUAUUUGCAUUUUCCCUUACCUUUUAUCCCUUUAUUUUUUUGAAGAGGCAUUUUUACUAGUGUCUAAAGCUAAUCUUGCCACCUAUGUUCCUAAUUUCCUCAGCCAACCAUUAAGUGUUUUAUAUCCAUCAUGUAAUAGGCACUGGUAAUACUAAAUGUAUAAGGCCGGACAUGGUGGCUCACACUUGUAGUCCUAGCUACUUGGGAGGCUGAGGCGGGAGGAUUGCCUGAGCCUGGGGGUUUGAGGCUGCAGUGAGCUCUGAUCGUGUCUCUUCACUCCAGCCUGGGCAACAAAGCGAGUCCCUGUCUCAAAAACAAAAAACCGGUGCAUGGUGAUAAACCAUACUGGGGAUGUAUAGGGUGCUGCUAUAGGAGCAUAGCUAUUUUUGAAGCCAUGGGAAGACGAAAAUGUCCAAGGAGAGUAGAAAUUGAGGAGAAAAGAAUCCUGAGGACAAACAUGGAAAGACUGUGGAGAAUGAGGAAAUUGCUAGUAGAGAGGUAGAGUAGAGUGAACCAACAAGAGUCUAGUGUGACAGAAGCUGAGCAGAAAAGUGCAUCUCAGGACACAGGUAGUGAUCAACAGAUACUGCGAAACAGCCAGGUAAGGACCUUCUCCCUCUUUCCUCUGAAGGCUCUGUUGGAUAAUAUUUCUGUCUGAAUACCACGUGUUCCUGCUAUUCUCAUGUGUUGAGCUCCUGAACUCAGGUGAGUGUGUGUAUAAUGAGUUUGGUGGCUGAAGGAAACCACAUCCAUCCUCUGAAUUCACUUUGUUCUUGAGUGUCAAAUCUGAACUAGUAGCUCAAGUUCAGAUAAUGGCUUAAGUGCAGAUAAUGAGGAAUUUGUCAAAAACUGUGUCCGAAAUACAGGCAGGGAAAUACUGGUGGGAAGCAGGGAGAUGGGAUAUAUCUAAGGGAUAUUUGGGUCUCCCUUUAUCCUGGUUCAGUGAAACUUCAUUUGACAAGACAAUUAUUCCUCAAUUCCACAUUUUCUGUUUCCUUUAUUGUCCUAGAAAGAGUUGUUUUAAUUCCCUGUUGCUACCUCUAGACUCCCAGUGAGUGCUAAAUCCCUUUACAUCUGUUGUCUUCCCUCCGGAUUAAGUGGAAUCUAAAUUUACAAAGUUACUUAAGAUCCAUUUGUUGCUAAAUACAGGGGAUACAUUUCUGUUGUUAUCUCAGCUUCUAGGCAGCAUUUGCCAUUGUUAACCACCUAAACCUUAGAAUACUUUUGUCUUUUCUGAAACACCAAAGUUUCUGGUUUUUUCUUAUCCCUCUGGUUAGUUUAUUUGUUAGCUUUUCUUCUCUGGCUCUCAAAGGUUAUAUAUUGUUCUGUAGCAUAAGCCCUCGUCUUCUCACUCUCUAUUGCUGGCUGAUCUGAUUUACUGCUGUAGCACAAGUUACCCUAAUUAACGCUUUGGGACGUUAAAUGAGCCUUAUGACACUGAUACAACUCUAUGUAGAGAUCACUGUAUUAUUAUUAAUUUGGACAUUUUGAAUAUAACAGUCAUGUAGAUUAUACAGAAUUCACACUGUGCACAUCUGUAUAUCUGGAAUGAACUCAUAGUGCAACAAUAAUUGAAAUAUUCCUGUUAUUUAGGCUAGAAUCAAACUGGAAUCUUAGAGGCAACUCAAUUAUUCUUGACUGCUCAAAAAUAUAAUUUUCAAAUCCUUUUUAUUAACUGAAUUGGGAAUCUAUAAGCUAAGAAGUAAUUAUAUUAAGCACCCUUUUAAAAUCUAGAUUUAAAUCUGCGUAGUGUUGAUUUUUAAUUCUUCUCAGUGGUUAUUCAUCUUGUCACAGUUUCUAAAAUUGUACUUUAAAGUUCCAUGAACAUUUCAGUGGAAUCAGGUUUUGUUUGAUAAACACUGCCCUCCUGUGGUUAACGUAAGCUAACAGUUUGGCAAAACUGCUGUAGUCUUUUCACUU